rnacentral:rRNA from 1 species
UACGUAGGGGGCAAGCGUUGUCCGGAUUUAUUGGGCGUAAAGAGCUCGUAGGCGGCUUGUCGCGUCGGCUGUGAAAACCCGCGGCUCAACCGCGGGCCUGCAGCCGAUGCGGGCAGGCUGGAGUUCGGUAGGGGAGACUGGAAUUCCUGGUGUAGCGGUGAAAUGCGCAGAUAUCAGGAGGAACACCAGAGGCGAAGGCGGCGACCUGGACAGGUACUGACACUCAACUACGAAAGCGUGGGGAGCAAACAGG